rnacentral:lncRNA from 1 species
AUGAAAAAGAGGGAGGAGUUUCAAGAGGUCCAUUUGAGGAGGAAGAAUUUUCCAAGUGUGAGGGACAGUCUGGGCAGAAACAUAGAGGCAGAAGAUAAGGGUUUUACAAAAGAGAAAGACUUUCAUACAUGUCUCCUACCUCCUAAUCGUCAUCCUCAGUUGCCGAGAGACUACUACUACUACUACUACUACUACUACCUCCUAACAAAAAAAUUAAUCAAUGAACUCAAGAUGGAGAGAGGCAUAUAUUUUUGGAUAUAUCAAAGAAAUGGAGUACUUGGGUACAAGAAUAAUGUCGUGCUCUGUGUUGAUUGGUUUUGCUCAAAUGCUGUUCAUUGUUACAUGAAAUGGGUCGAGUCCUGGAAAGGGACAUAUAUUUGGAAGUAACAAUCAUAAUAAAACAUAAAAUUAUCAAUAAAAUUUGACUUUU